rnacentral:rRNA from 1 species
UACAGAGGGUGCGAGCGUUAAUCGGAAUUACUGGGCGUAAAGCGCGCGUAGGCGGCUUUGCAAGUCGGGUGUGAAAUCCCCAGGCUUAACCUGGGAACUGCAUUCGAGACUGCAUUGCUAGAGUAUGGGAGAGGGAAGUGGAAUUUCCGGUGUAGCGGUGAAAUGCGUAGAUAUCGGAAGGAACAUCAGUGGCGAAAGCGACUUCCUGGACCAAUACUGACGCUUAUGUGCGAAAGCGUGGGGAGCAAACAGG